rnacentral:lncRNA from 1 species
UUUAAGAUAAGGAGAAUUUUUUUUUGUAUGAAAAUAGAUUUUAAAAUUUGAUAGUAGAUAUUCUAUCAAAAUUUAUUUUUGGAAUAAAAUACUAUAAUAGAAAAUUUAAAAAUUUCAGGAUCACAUUAUCCUAUUAUACUAAAUUUUCAAUUAAGAAAUUAAUAUAUUUAAAAAAUUUCAAAGAAAAUAAUUUAUUUAUCAAGGUAAUUACUAACGUUUUAAAAGACUUAAUUCAUGCACUCAAAAUAUUAAGUGGGAGAAGGCCUUUGGAAAGGUCACAACCUUUGUUGUUGAACCCAUCUUGAUUUGGAUUCAUCACCAUCCCACUGAUGGGUUGUACCCUAUGGUGGAAGCAACCACCCCACGGAUGGGGUCUUCACUUGGUGACAUUGAUGUCAAGGUCAAGGGUUAUACACUUAACUUGGAUAUGAAGUGGUUGAAUCACUCAUCGCUAGUCCCACUUGCAUAGUCUAAGGACCAAACUUUAAGGUAUGUUGAUUUUUUGCUAAACUAUUGUUUGUCUUGAAUGCUCAAUUAUAUUAAAUGCAUGGUUGUUUUCUUUUUAUAGAUAUCAUGCUUGUUUGUUAUCACUUUCUUUCUCACAUUGAACUAAACCCAACUAUUCUUUUGGACUAAACAAAUAUUUUGGAUUUAGUAAAUAAUACCAUAGAAGCUAAUUGAAGUGAAGCUACCUAUUCCUUAUGAACAAACCUAGUAGGAAGAAAGAGUGGUAUAUUAAAUGUGAUAUAAGACGAAUAAGAAAACCAAGUCUUUCAUACUUGGAUCUUUGGAUAAUGUGUUGUCAUAACAACACAUAUCAUUACCAAGGAUUUUGAAUUAUCUUUUUAUUUUGUAAGGUUUAUUUGGUGCUAAGGGCAAGUUAGCUUCGAUAAGCUACCCCAAAGACUAUUAUGAACACUAAGUUUUAUAUGAUCAUAGAGAAGUUAUCAAAUUCCUUCGAGAUGGUUAAGAUGAUUCUCAAAGAUUAUAUAUGAAGAUGUUUAUAUGAGAGUCAAGGGUUCUUCAGGUUCUCCUAUCAAGAAAAAGAAGAACAUCAAAUUAAGAAAGUUUAGGAGAAUGAAUAAAAAAACAAGCUUAUAGGUGUAAGUGAUUUCUUUAUGCCCUUCUAGGACACUAGAAAGGGAGUGCCUAGUUUAACUAUGGAAAAAAGAAAGUACACAUUCUCAUUGUUGAAUGUACAACGAUGGAUUUCACCAAUUAGGGUGGAUAGAUUCUAGGAGAAGGUUGCAUGCUGAGAUUGUACUUACCUUAGUUUUAGUUGCAAAGUUAGUUGUGCAGAUAUUAUUAUUAUUAUUAUUAUUAUUAUUAUUAUGACUCUAUUAUCACUUUGCCAAGUAAUGAGAAUAGUCAUAUCUCACUAAAAGAAUGAAUUUAGCACCAAUCAAACAUCUAGCUUCUAAAGUGUAGGGGGCAUUUUGAUUAAAGGAUAUUUCAACCUAUGAAUCUUGUGUAGGUGGUAAAAUGAAACAUUGCUCUUAAACAAGUGAAAACUUUCAUUCCCUAGUUUAAAAGGGAAGCUAACAAUGUUAGGUUUUGGCAAAGAAAUUAAAUUGUGAGAAACUAACCACUUCUAGUAGGACUUUGUCUUGACUUCCCUCUAAGACAAAGUUUUCAUUUGGUUUUAUGGUUUAGAUCAUAAGGAAUCCUUUUCCUUUUGAACAAUGUCAUACAAAAUUGAUAAUCUUUGUAAUGAUACUUUAGUUUCUUAUAAACUAACAUUUAUCAUUCUUAUAUUCCUUCUUUUCAACUUUAAAAGACUCAUUGAUGACUUACAUGAUGAACUAAAUGAGAACGUUGUUGAUGCAACCUUCUUUUGCACAAACAUACUAGUCAAUUUAUUAAUAUUCCACUUAGAUAAUUCAUUUGAAGUAAUCGAUAUUAUUUUGGAAGCAAUGAAUUGAGUAUGAAUUGUGAUAGAAAACACUCAUGCACUUUCAUCCUUGAAUUCUUAGCGCUUUUGCUAGGUUUGUUGUUUCAAGGAUGUGCUCAUAUAUGCCACGUGAACUAUCAAAUUUCAUGUUGGUAAAUUUGGCCAUAUAUCUUAGCAAGAGACUUAUAAUUAGUUUAGAAUGUUUUUUGAAAAUUUUUAUCAAUUCCUUACCACUUUCAAUUUUAGGAAGAGUAGUCUUGAUAUUUGGUACAAAAUCACUAGCAUAAAAAUUAAACUUAAUGUGUUUGAGUUUUCGUAAACCUUAUGGAAGACCCUUUCUCCACUUCUAGCUUUCAAUCAACAAUAGCAAUAACUUUCUUAGUUGGAUGAAACUAGAUUUGUUCACAUUAGUAUUAGAAAUUUAAGUUAUUAAAUAAGGAAAUAGAAGAAACACCUAUGAGGAGAAACAAUAUUGAUAGGUACCGUAAAUUACAACAAAAUAUAUUAAAUUUAUGGUUUGGGUGCCAACUUUAAAACAUAAAACCAUAAAUUAGAUCCAAGGCAUAAAUCAAAAGAAAAAAAAUAAAAAUAAAAAUACAUAGAGCUCCACUUUGGAUGAUAAUGCAACACACAACAUUAAGCAUUGCGAUACAAAUUUUGUUCUACUUCAUUUGAUAACUAAAUGCACAUUCGGCAGACAUGUUUGCUAUCUUAAGAUAUACAAAACAAAUCUAAUAGGGUAAUAUCAAUACUUUACUAAUGUUUAUUAUUUAUAGAAAUAAUUGGUCUAUGUUGGCCAAUCUUUAAACAUCUUCUAAAUAAUCAACUUUAGUAUACCAAUGAUACAUUAUGUCUUUUUCAUUUAUAACUGUUAACAAUUCAUGGGCAACCCAAUAUUUUAUAUGUAAAAGCUUGAUGUCCAUGAAUUUUUCGGGUUUGGUCACUUUGAUGACUAACAAACUAACUAAUUCUUGUUAACUAUAGUCUAUAGCCAAUUCACCGGUAAUAUAUACUUUUGAAUUUAAUUUUUCUUAGCCAUGGAUGAGUCAUGGGUUAACAAGAUAAAGCAAAUAUAUAUACAUACAUACAUACAUAUAAGCACACUAUAACAAAAUGGAACUUAAGGAUAGAUGUUAAUCUAAAUCUUAGGACUUUAUGAUUUUUAUAAACCUAAAAAAUAAAGGUAGUAUACGUACCUUGAUCCAUAGGUAUAGACUUGGAAACACAAUUUUCUAGAAGCCAAAUGAAGAAAUUGUAUCUCUCUCUCUUCCAUGCCACUAAGCUGCUAAUAGCAUGGAGAAAGGGCCAAUUUUCUUCAAUAAUUAAAGUUCUACUUUCCAUCAAAAUGCAAUUAUUUAUCAAACACUUCACUUACACUAAAGGAUCAACAACACCAGAAACACCCAAUAUUCAUCUAUGAUAUGCAAGAAUGGGAAAAUGAUAUAUGCAAGAAGAUUUUCAAAAUCCCAUAAACUUGUAAUUUCCUUAUUACACUAAAGUUUCCAUUUUGAAAAAUAAAUACAAUGGAAUUUUCAUUAGAGAUAGUUUAUCAUUAAAAGGUAUUAUCAAAAUACUUAAUAAUUUGAUGGAAAUAAAUUUAUUUGAAAAUGUUUCCCACAUAAAAUAUUUAUUGAUUGGAGUUGUUUAAGAUAAGGAGAAUUUUUUUUGUAUGAAAAUAGAUUUUAAAAUUUGAUAGUAGAUAUUCUAUCAAAAUUUAUUUUUGGAAUACAAUACUAUAAUAGAAAAUUUAAAAAUUUCAGGAUCACAUUAUCCUAUUAUACUAAAUUUUCAAUUAAGAAAUUAAUAUAUUUAAAAAAUUUCAAAGAAAAUAAUUUAUUUAUCAAGGCAAUUAUUAACGUUUUAAAAGACUUAAUUCAUGCACUCAAAAUAUUAAGUGGGAGAAGGCCUUAGGAAAGGUCACAACCUUUGUUGUUGAACCCAUCUUGAUUUGGAUUCAUCACCACCCCACUGAUGGGUUGUACCCUAUAGUGGAAGCAUCCACCCCACUGAUGGGGUCUUCACUUGGUGACAUUGAUGUCAAGGUCAAGGGUUAUACACUUAACUUGGAUAUGAAGUGGUUGAAUCGCUCAUCGCUAGUCCCACUUGCAUAGUCUAAGGGCCAAACUUUAAGGUAUGUUGAUUUUUUGCUAAACUAUUGUUUGUCUUGAAUGCUCAAUUAUAUUAAAUGCAUGGUUGUUUUCUUUUUAUAGAUAUCAUGCUUGUUUGUUAUCACUUUCUUUCUCACAUUGAACUAAACCCAACUAUUCUUUUGGACUAAACAAAUAUUUUGGAUUUAGUAAAUAAUACCAUAGAAGCUAAUUGAAGUGAAGCUACCUAUUCCUUAUGAACAAACCUAGUAGGAAGAAAGAGUGGUAUAUUAAAUGUGAUAUAAGACGAAUAAGAAAACCAAGUCUUUCAUACUUGGAUCUUUGGAUAAUGUGUUGUCAUAACAACACAUAUCAUUACCAAGGAUUUUGAAUUAUCUUUUUAUUUUGUAAGGUUUAUUUGGUGCUAAGGGCAAGUUAGCUUCGAUAAGCUACCCUAAAGACUAUUAUGAACAAUAAGUUUUAUAUGAUCAUAGAGAAGUUAUCAAAUUCCUUCGAGAUGGUUAAGAGGAUUCUCAAAGAUUAUGAAGAUGUUUAUAUGAGAGUCAAGGGUUCUUCAGGUUCUCCUAUCAAGAAAAAGAAGAACAUCAAAUUAAGAAAGUUUAGGAGAAUGAAUAAAAAAACAAGCUUAUAGGUGUAAGUGAUUUCUUUAUGCCCUUCUAGGACACUAGAAAGGGAGUGCCUAGUUUAACUAUGGAAAAAAGAAAGUACACAUUCUCAUUGUUGAAUGUACAAUGGUGGAUUUCACCAAUUAGGGUGGAUAGAUUCUAGGAGAAGGUU